rnacentral:rRNA from 1 species
GGUUGACCUCGGAUCAGGUAGGAAUACCCGCUGG